CAUUAUGUUUUUUUUUUGUCUCUAUAAAAUUGAUAAAGUUUAUUUUUUGUUUUUACAAUUUUUUUAUCCUGUGUGUCGUUUGAGUUUUCACAUCAAUCACUCCAUUAGACAUUUGAACUCGACAAUGUUAAUUUUUUGUUGUUUCUAUUGAGGUUGCACAUUGACCACUUUGCGACUAUGGUUUGGAAGCCAACCGUGGUGUUGUUUCGGUGUUUAACCCAAAUUAGAAGAUGCUUCAUGUGUGAGAAAAGUUCUGGAGACAGGAUUUGUGGUGGUCCCAAGCACAAAGAAGGUAAUAUUUUGAGUUUUACAAUAUGUUUGGGUUUUGUUUUCGUGUUUGCUCGAACUUGAAGGGGAUUAGGGUUAAUUUGGUUUCGAGUGGGGUUAGGGUUCCAGGUGCAGUUGAAAUUGCGUGAGAUCAAAAUCCAUUAUGGUUUAGGGGGUUAGGGUUUUUCUAAAUGCGAAUUGAAGAAGGGUCCAAGGGGGUAAGGUUCAUGGGGGUGUUAAUUGGGUUAGUGUGUGAUUGAGUGUGAAUUAAUAUAGGGUUUUUGUGGCUUUGAAUUGGAGUAUGUCUCAGGUGUGUGCGAUUUGGGGUAUGGCUCGUUUGAGUGCGAAUUGGAUAGUGGUAGUGUGGGUUCAAAUUCUGUACGGUUAGGUUCUAAACUUGUUUUCUAUUUGGCCUUUGUAUUUUCUUUUUGUUGUGACAUUUGAUUUGAUGAUAAUUUGUGUAUUGCAAUAUGAUAUUAUUAUUUUGUUGAACAUGGAUGAGGUUGAGGUUUUCUAUUGCAAUUCACUUGAUGGGGAGAUGGCUAUAUAAACCGACACUUAAGUUGGAGGGUAAAGAGGAGCAUGCCUAUCAUAAUCUUGAUAUUGACACAUGGUCCUACUAUGAAAUUAUUUGGCUAACGAAGGACCUUGAAUAUAAUGUUGCCAAUGGGAUUAAAAUGUGGUGGAAAGGCAAAGAUGAUGAUUAUGACUUCCUAAGAGAGUUGUUGAUUGAUCAAGACGUACUGGAUUUGGAAAACUAUGCCUUGGAGCAUAACUGUGAAGCUCAAAUUUAUGCGGUGCUAGGUGUUUCUUAACAUGAAAAAGUUAGUGGAUUUGAUAUGUUAGAACAUACACCAGUAGCCCCUAAUUCUGACAACUGCAACGAAGAGGCCAAUAAUGUUGUUAAUGAGGAGCUAAUCAAUGGUCAAGAUGUUGUUGAAAUGUGUUUUGAAGGAUAUGAUCUUGACUUAGAGUAUGGUAUAGAUGAUGCUUUUGACUAGGACUUUGGUCUAGAUAAUGGUCAAUCAUCUGUGAAGCAAAAAGCAAGUAAGAAAGCAAAGAAGAAGGUGGAUGAUGAGGAUCCUCUUGAGAUGCUUGAUGAAGACCCACCUGAUAUGCCUGGUGACUAUGAAGCUGACCCACCACAUGUGCAUACCCAUCCUAAUUUUAGGGAAAUGCAUCAUUUGGAGAUUGAUUAUAACACUUAAGAGUUGUACAAUGAUGUUGAAUCAGAGGACCCAACUACAAAGCUGGGAAACAAAUAUCCAAUGUUCAGGAAAAAGAACAUGUGCAAGGUUUUCAAAUGGAAAUCAGGAAUGCAAUUUACCUGUAUGAAAGAUUUCAAAGAAGGCAUAAUGGAGUUUUUUGUGUUGAAUGGUUAUCAAGUAAACUUUCCCAAAAAUGAUUGCAUAAGGGUUAAGGCAGUGCACAAGACUAAGGAGUGUCCAUUUCGUGCAUUUGUAUCAAAAAGUGGGAGAAACAUCUACCUUUCAAUUGAAAACCUUGGAACUGAAGCACACAUGCGCUAGAGUAUUUUACAACAAAAAUGCUAAAGUAACAUGGGAUGCAAAAUUUAUAGUCGACAAGUUUAGAGCAAGUAAAAGGUUCAAAUUGACACAAAUUAUUCAAGAGAUGAAGUCCACUUAUGUUGUUGGAAUAACUAGAUCUUGUGCAAUCAGUGCCAGGAAAAUAACAUUGAAACAAAUUGAAGGUGAUGCAAUGAAGCAAUAUUCAUUUCUUAGGAGGUACAAUGAUGAAGUUAGAUCCCAAAAUGAAAAUAAUACAUUUAAGAUUCAUGUAAACAAACCUGCUCCUACUUUGCUGCCAUGAUUUGGGUCCAUAUAUACGUGUUUGGAUACUUGCAAAAAAGCAUUUGUAGAAGGUAGCUUACUUUUCAUUAGGGUAGAUGGUUGUCACCUAAAGACCAAAUAUGGUGGACAAUUGCUUGUAGCCAUGACCAGAGAUGCUAAUGAUUAGUACUUUCCAUUAGCCUUUGUUGUUGUGGAGAUUGAAAGCAAAGAGAGUGGAAAUGGUUUUUGACACUACUACUUGGUGGCAUUGGAGACUUUGAGACUAAUAGAUGGGUGUUCAUUUCUGACAGACAAAAGAACUAGAUGACAAAAUUGAACAUAGGUUCUGCCCUAGGUAUAUGUAUGCAAAUUUCAAAAAAAAGAUUUGGAGGAGGAGCUAUGCUUAGAGAGUUGGUGAUGGCUGCUUCAAAAGCUACAUAUUUGGAGGCAUAUGAAGAGAAAAUGAACCAAAUCAAAGAGAUAAACAAUAAGGCAUAUGAGUGGCUCGCUACUGAAUUCCUUAAGAAGACAUGGUGUAAGUAUGCUUUUAGUGUGUACUCCAAGUGUGAUGUUAUUAUGAAUAACAUGUAUAAGUGUUUUAAUAGUGUAAUUUUGCCAGCAAGAGAUAAACCAAUUAUUGCUAUACAUAAUGGACAAACCUAUGAAAAGAUUAGAUUAGGAGGUUGAAAAGGAUAAAAAUUGGAUUACUGAACAUGUUGGGGCUUGUUGUUUGAGGUAACAAACACAUUGCUCACACGGAAGUUCAUCGUGAAUCUAGCAACUAGGAAUGCUUGUAAUUUUUGGGGAUUGGUUGGGAUACCUUAUAGGCAUGUUGUUUCAACAAUAUAGUAUAAUAGGGAAAAACUAGUUGAUUAUGUUGAUGCCUACUAUCGCAUACAGUCAUAUGCUAAGUGUUAUAGUCAAACAAUGAGUCCUAUUAAGGGUGAGAACAAAUGACCAAAGAAAACUGCUGACUCUGUUAUGUCUCCUAAUUACAAAGUUGGGCCUGAAAGACAAAAAAAAUUAAGAAGAGAACCUGAUGAAGAUCCAAGAUCAACUGAAAUGAGGAGAAAAAAUACCAAAAAAAUGCCAAAAAUAUGGCCAUAAUACUAGGACUUGCAAAGAACGACUAGUGCCAAAUGCUAGAUCUCAAGUCCCAACAAAAUCACAAGGGACUGCAUCUGAGGUCCCAAUUGUUGGAUUUCAAGUCCCAACAGAAGCACAAGGGGCUGGAUCUCAAGUGCCAAAUGUUGGAUCUCAAGUUGGGAGCAAGUCUACAAAGCAUCAAACGAAGGUAUAUCAUUGUUAACACCUUUUGGGACCUUGUAUUUUCACAUUAUAACACUUUGACAUAGGCAAUGCCAAAGGCAACAACUUAGCUUGCAAAAUCAAAGCUAACCAUUGAAGGAAAACAAAACCAACCAUUAAACAAGGUACUUCAAAAUUAGUCAUUAACUGGUUUAUAUAUUUCGUGUUUCUAGCAAUUGGUUUAAACUAGUUUGAACAUUAUAAAUUGGUUUACCUAAAACAAGCAAAGGGGAUUUCAAAAUCUGCCACACUCAUGACAAAAAACAACAAUGGCAAAGGUAGAUCUUCAACUGUACCCGCGAUACUAGCUUUUGCAAGAAAUUUAACUCCUGGGCAAUUACUAACAAAAAUUAUGUUGGGUGAUAAAAGGGUUGUAUGCAUCUUAGUUAUGAAUUGUAUGACCGAUCUUAAAUAAUUUGGUAGCUCAUGACUUAUUUCCAUGUUUGUGCAAGUUACUAAAGAGAAGAAAAAAGGUAAAAAUGUGGAGAGAGAUGUUGCUUCUACUAUUGACUCAUCACAUGUGAAUGGGAAUCAAAUUGACUGAUUUAUAUGUGGGAAUUCUCCACAAGUUUUUUUUAGGAAUGUAUGAAGGGAAUCUCAAUAUGGUGUUGGAUUUGGAUGUAUUCGUUGUCAGUGGGGUCUUUUUUUUGGUUAAAUACACUAUUGGAAUCUUAUGUGUAGUCUUCUGAUGGAUACCCAAAAUCCAGGCACGAUUAUAUUUUGCUUUUUGGCUAGACAAUUGCAUAUUAUACUAUGUAAUGGGAUUAUUAUCAAUGUUAAA